CCUACGGGAGGCAGCAGUGAGGAAUAUUGGUCAAUGGCCGGAAGGCUGAACCAGCCAUGCCGCGUGAAGGUCAGUGCCCUAUGGGCGUUAAACUUCUUUUGUGCGGGAGCAAUAAUGGUCACGUGUGGCCAGACGAGAGUACCGUACGAAUAAGCAUCGGCUAACUCCGUGCCAGCAGCCGCGGUAAUACGGGGGAUGCAAGCGUUAUCCGGAUUUAUUGGGGUUUAAGGGUGCGUAGGCUGUGAGGUAAGGCAGCGGUGAAAUGCCCCGGGUCAACGGGGUGAAGUGCCAUUGAUACUGGCUUGCUGGAAUGCGGAUGCCGUGGGAGGAAUGUGUGGUGUAGCGGUGAAAUGCAUAGAUAUCACGCAGAACACCGAUUGCGAAGGCAUCUCACGAAUCCGCGAUUGACGCUGAUGCACGAAAGCGUGGGUAUCAAACAGGAUUAGAUACCCCUGUAGUC
rnacentral:rRNA from 1 species